UGCAGCGACGCCGCGUGAGGGAUGACGGCCUUCGGGUUGUAAACCUCUUUCAGCAGGGACGAAGCGCAAGUGACGGUACCUGUAGAAGAAGCACCGGCCAACUACGUGCCAGCAGCCGCGGUAAUACGUAGGGUGCGAGCGUUGUCCGGAAUUACUGGGCGUAAAGAGCUCGUAGGUGGUUUGUCGCGUUGUUCGUGAAAACUCACAGCUCAACUGUGGGCGUGCGGGCGAUACGGGCAGACUUGAGUACUGCAGGGGAGACUGGAAUUCCUGGUGUAGCGGUGGAAUGCGCAGAUAUCAGGAGGAACACCGGUGGCGAAGGCGGGUCUCUGGGCAGUAACUGACGCUGAGGAGCGAAAGCGUGGGGAGCGAACAGGAUUAGAUACCCUGGUAGUCCACGCCGUAAACGGUGGGUACUAGGUGUGGGUUUCCUUCCUUGGGAUCCGUGCCGUAGCUAACGCAUUAAGUACCCCGCCUGGGGAGUACGGCCGCAAGGCUAAAACUCAAAGAAAUUGACGGGGGCCCGCACAAGCGGCGGAGCAUGUGGAUUAAUUCGAUGCAACGCGAAGAACCUUACCUGGGUUUGACAUGCACAGGACGCCGGCAGAGAUGUCGGUUCCCUUGUGGC
rnacentral:rRNA from 1 species